rnacentral:rRNA from 1 species
UACGGAGGGUGCGAGCGUUGUCCGGAAUCACUGGGCGUAAAGGGCGCGUAGGCGGCCUGAUAAGUAGGGGGUGAAAUCCUGCGGCUUAACCGCAGGGCUGCCUUCUAAACUGUCAGGCUAGAGCACAGUAGAGGCAGGUGGAAUUCCCGGUGUAGCGGUGGAAUGCGUAGAGAUCGGGAGGAACACCAAAGGCGAAGGCAGUGUCCUGGGGAGUACCUGACGCUCAGGUGCGAAAGCCAGGGGAGCGAACGGG